UUAAUCAAAAUGGAUUGUAAGACAGCGCUGAUACUUCUGACUCUCUGCUGUGCAGGUGUUGAUGGUCAGACUCUUACAGAGUCUGAACCAGCAGUUAAAAGACCAGGAGAUUCACACAGGCUGACCUGUACAGCCUCUGGAUUCACAUUCAGCAGCUACCAUAUGGGCUGGGUCAGACAGGCCCCUGGAAAAGGACUUGAGUGGAUUGCUUACAUUUACACUGAUAGUAGUGGCAUCUUCUACUCUCAGUCAGUCAGAGGCCGGUUCACCAUCUCCAGAGACAACAGCAGACAGCAGCUGUAUCUGCAGAUGAACAGCCUGAAGACUGAAGAUUCUGCUGUUUAUUAUUGUGCUCGAGAGCCACAGUGACUGGAGCUGUUUCAGCUGCUGUACAAAAUCCUUCAUGUGUCAGAAGAAAUAAGAAAUACUGAAUUUCUAUAGGACAAUAUGCAUAGAAGUUGGAAUAAAAACAUUU